GUGAGUUGGGCCGUGUGAGGCGCCUGGAAGAGGCCAGGCAUACAGUAGGUGCCCACUGAGCGCUCCCGUGCGCCAGGAGGAUGUGUUACUGCUGCAGCUAUAAUAACAAGAUAAUCACGUAAUAUGGUAGAGAACACUGUUACUAUUAUUGGCUGAGCAAUCCUGGCUCAGCCACGUCCCAGCGGAGGAGCCCGGGGCCGACGGCCCGCGGCCCACUGCGGGUUUCACACCUGGCGAAUGGGGCCCGUGUCCUGCCACACACCGUGUGCACAGAGGUUGUCCCGUUCCUUCCUCACCUUGUUUGGUGAGGCCCUCCCCAGACAGAAGAACUGCGUCCGGGGAGAGUAGACUGGCUCCCAGGCCCAAGGCAUCCUGGGAAGGAGGAAGGAGAAGAACCCAUGAGGCCGAGGGCGGCUGUGCCUCCGCCUCCCCUCCCCCAGGCUGGAACCCCCACCCCAGCUGCUCCGGGCACCAGCUCCCAGCCUGCGGGGCUGUGGGGAGAGGACCGCCAGCCUGGGGUUUCCAGCUUUCUGGGAAAAAAGUCAACAUCCACUAUGGAUCUGGUCUGGCCCCC
rnacentral:lncRNA from 1 species